rnacentral:rRNA from 1 species
UAGGGAAUAUUAGAAAUGGACGAAAGUCUGAUCUAGCAACACCGCGUGUGCGAAGAAGGCCUUCGGGUUGUAAAGCACUUUUUGAGAGGAUGAGGAAGGACGGUACUCUCAGAAUAAGUCUCGGCUAACUACGUGCCAGCAGCCGCGGUAACACGUAGGAGGCAAACGUUAUCCGGAUUUACUGGGCGUAAAGCGCGUGUAGGUGGUUUGGUAAGUAGAGCGUGAAAGCUCCUGGCUCAACUGGGAGAGGUCGUUCUAAACUGCCGGACUAGAGGAUGGUAGAGGGAGGUGGAAUUCCGGGUGUAGCGGUGGAAUGCGCAGAUAUCCGGAGGAACACCAGUGGCGAAAGCGGCCUCCUGGACCACUCCUGACACUCAGACGCGAAAGCUAAGGUAGCAAACG